UAUGUGAUCGUCUCUCGCAUAUCAAUAAGCGGAGGAAAAGAAACUAACAAGGAUUCCCUUAGUAACGGCGAGUGAAGCGGGAAGAGCUCAAAUUUGAAAUCUUCAAGGUUUUACCUUGACGAAUUGUAGUUUAAAGAAGUGUUUUCUGUUGAAGUUUUGGUAAAAGUUCUUUGGAAUAGGACAUCAUAGAGGGUGAGAAUCCCGUAUUUGACCAUUAUCUUCAGCUGUGUGAUACACUUUCAAAGAGUCGGAUUGUUUGGGAAUGCAGUCCAAAAUGGGUGGUAAAUUUCAUCUAAAGCUAAAUAUUGGCGAGAGACCGAUAGCGAACAAGUACCGUGAGGGAAAGAUGAAAAGAACUUUGAAAAGAGAGUUAAACAGUACGUGAAAUUGUCAAAAGGGAAGCGUUUGACACCAGUGUUGUUUUCUCGAAAAUCAAUUAAAAAGAGUUAGAUUUUGUUGUGUAUUGACCUUAACAGCUUGCAUUUCAAUUUUCUUGCUUUUUUUAAUGCACUUUUCGUUUAACAAGUCAACAUCAGUUUCUUUUGUUGUAAAAAGGUCAUUGGAAGGUGGCUUUCUUUUCGGAGAAAGUGUUUAUAGCCUUUGACUCCUGCAAUCGGAGAGACUGAGGUCUGCAGCGUAGAUCCUUCGGGGUUAGAUACAUUUGUGCUAAGUUAUAGCUUUUUAUAGACAACUUGUUGACUAUGAUUAGUCUUGUAGCUUACUCGCUUAUGCUAUUUUACCUACGCUUAGGAUGUUGAAGAUGUAGCACAUCAU
rnacentral:rRNA from 1 species